GUCGAGAAUCUUUCACAAUGGGGGCAACCCUGAUGGAGCGACGCCGCGUGGAGGAUAAGGUCUUCGGAUUGUAAACUCCUGUCAUGCGUGAACAAGGUUGCUUGGUUAAUACCUGGGCAAAUUGAUGGUAACGCAAGAGGAAGAGACGGCUAACUCUGUGCCAGCAGCCGCGGUAAUACAGAGGUCUCAAGCGUUGUUCGGAAUCACUGGGCGUAAAGGGUGCGUAGGUGGCGUGGUAAGUCAGAUGUGAAAGCCCGGGGCUCAACCUCGGAACUGCAUCCGAUACUGCCAUGCUAGAGUACUGGAGAGGUGACUAGAAUUCUCGGUGUAGCAGUGAAAUGCGUAGAUAUCGAGAGGAAUACCAAAGGCGUAGGCAAGUCACUGGACAGUUACUGACACUGAGGCACGAAGGCCAGGGGAGCGAACGGGAUUAGAUACCCGUGUAGUCC
rnacentral:rRNA from 1 species